rnacentral:rRNA from 1 species
CGCCGAACGAUCAGUAGGGGGUUCUGGAGAGGAAGGCCCCCCACAUUGGAACUGAAACACGGUCCAAACUCCUACGGGAGGCAGCAGUGAGGAAUAUUGGUCAAUGGACGCAAGUCUGAACCAGCCAAGUAGCGUGCAGGAUGACGGCCCUAUGGGUUGUAAACUGCUUUUAUGUGGAAAUAAAGUGGCGCACGUGUGCCCCAUUGCAUGUACCUCAUGAAUAAGGACCGGCUAAUUCCGUGCCAGCACCCGCGGUAAUACGGAAGGUCCGGGCGUUAUCCGGAUUUAUUGGGUUUAAAGGGAGUGUAGGCGGUCUGUUAAGCGUGUUGUGAAAUUUAGGUGCUCAACAUUUAACUUGCAGCGCGAACUGUCAAACUUGAGUACACCCAGCGCAGGCGGAAUUCAUGGUGUAGCGGUGAAAUGCUUAAAUAUCAUGAGGAACUCCAAUCGCGAAGGCAGCCUGCGGGAGUGUUACUGACGCUUAAGCUCGAAGGUGCGGGUAUCAAACAGGAUUAAAUACCCUGGUAGUCCGCACUGUAAACAAUGGAUGCCCGCCGUUGGCGCGCUGCGCCUGCGGCCAAGCGAAAGCAUUAAGCAUCCCACCUGGGGAGUACGCCGGCAACGGUGAAACUCAAAGGAAUUGACGGGGGCCCGCACAAGCGGAGAAACAUGUGGUUUAAUUCGAUGAUACGCGAGGACCCUUACCCGGGCUUGAAUUGCAGUCGCAGCCCACAGAGACGUGGGA